rnacentral:rRNA from 1 species
GGUAGUCCACGCCGUAAACGAUGGACACUAGGUGUGGGAGGUGUCGACUCCUCCCGUGCCGAAGCUAACGCAUUAAGUGUCCCGCCUGGGGAGUACGGCCGCAAGGCUAAAACUCAAAGGAAUUGACGGGGCCCGCACAAGCAGCGGAGCAUGUGGUUUAAUUCGACGAAACGCGAAGAACCUUACCUGGGCUUGACAUGUCGGUGACAGGUGUGGAAACACAUCCUCCCUUCGGGGGCACCGUCACAGGUGGUGCAUGGCUGUCGUCAGCUCGUGUCGUGAGAUGUUGGGUUAAG